UACAUGCCACCUGGUACAGUUUGGCCCAUGAGCAGACCAUCAUGGCUGUUCCCUUCCUGCAUGACAGGUUGAAGUUUAUGUUCCUUCCCACUUAAAAACAGUCCUAGCCUGCAAGCUAUAGAAGUAUACUCAAAUAAAUUGUGGAUGUCAGAUUACCUGCGCAUGUGAAGGGUAUAGCCCUCCUGUUUUCCAGUAUGAAGGCAGACAAGAGACAAAGAUGUGUAAUAAGCAGAGAGCCUUGUUGGGGGAAGUAGCCAUCUUUGCACCCCAGACAACCAUAAUGCUCAAGAGGAGGACUGGGACAACUUACAUCUGCAGUGCUGAGCUGGUGAAUGGAUGAAAUCUCCAAGCGGUUUACAAAUCCCAAUGAGAAGGAAUUAAUGCAAGAAUCAAGAUAAGAAAUAGAAUAC